rnacentral:rRNA from 1 species
CACUCUAAUGAGACUGCCGGUGACAAACCGGAGGAAGUGGGGAUGACGUCAAGUCCUCAUGGCCCUUAUGGGUAGGGCUUCACACGUCAUACAAUGGUCGGUACAGAGGGUUGCCAAGCCGCGAGGCGGAGCCAAUCCCACAAAGCCGAUCGUAGUCCGGAUUGUUCUCUGCAACUCGAGAGCAUGAAGUCGGAAUCGCUAGUAAUCGCAGGUCAGCAUACUGCGGUGAAUACGUUCCCGGGUCUU